AGUGAACGUUGGCGGCGUGGAUUAGGCAUGCAAGUCGAGCGAGAACCGUAGCAAUACGGGGACAGCGGCGAAAGGGACAGUAAUGUGUAGGUACCUACCUCCGGGUUCGGGAUAGCUACGGGAAACUGCAGGUAAUACCGAAUAACGUCUCCGGACCAAAGGUGUGAUUCCACCUGGAGAGGGGCCUGCAUCCUAUUAGCUUGUUGGCGGGGUAACGGCCCACCAAGGCGACGAUGGGUAGCGGGUGUGAGUGCACGACCCGCGUCAUUGGGACUGAGACACUGCCCAGACACCUACGGGUGGCUGCAGUCGUGAAUCUUCGGCAAUGGGCGCAAGCCUGACCGAGCGACGCCGCGUGCGGGAUGAAGGCCUUCGGGUUGUAAACCGCUGUCGUAGAGGAGGAAAUGCAGGGGGGUUCUCCCCUCUGUUUGACCUAUUCUAGGAGGAAGUACGGGCUAAGUUCGUGCCAGCAGCCGCAGUAA
rnacentral:rRNA from 1 species